rfam:Roseburia sp. 499 contig000010, whole genome shotgun sequence.
GAACGCCGUAUGCGGUGAAAGUCGCACGUACGGUGUGAGUCGGGGGAAAAGUUGGAGAUAAUUUCAAAGGCUUACCUAUCGACAU